UACGUAGGGGCCUAGCGUUGUCCGGAUUUAUUGGGCGUAAAGAGCUCGUAGGCGGCUUGUCACGUCGAUUGUGAAAGCCCGAGGCUUAACCUCGGGUCUGCAGUCGAUACGGGCUAGCUAGAGUGUGGUAGGGGAGAUCGGAAUUCCUGGUGUAGCGGUGAAAUGCGCAGAUAUCAGGAGGAACACCAAUGGCGAAGGCAGAUCUCUGGGCCGUAACUGACGCUGAGGAGCGAAAGCAUGGGGGAGCGAAC
rnacentral:rRNA from 1 species